rnacentral:lncRNA from 1 species
GACCAAUGAGGGAGACUCCCACCGAUCCAUCCCCGCCAGCUGCUCACGAUUGAUUCCGCGGGCCACCCGAUGUCGACGGACGGGCGGACGAGAUGGGGCAAAGACCAUGGAGAUCCAUCCCAAGCAUAUCUGUGCUUCUUCCUUCCGGCCAGCUCCCCACGAUCAAUUCUGCGGGCCGUCAGAUGUCGAUGGACGAACGAGAUUGGUUAAAUAGACAGUGUCGAUCCAUGGGUAAAGUCCAUUGACCAAUUAAGAGUCCGCUGCAUUUACGCCGCUCGUCUCUCAAAAUUUGUGUCUCCUUGCUCAAAAGUAAGUUUUGAAGACAAGAGAAAAGAAAAGGAAAGAUAAUAUUGAAAAGAGGCGAAUCCCAUUCCCAUCCCCCACCCAUCUCUCUCCAUGACCAUUACCAGGAGGAGCAGGACGACGCCAUGGAAGGGUCACCAACAACUCCGGUCUUCUCCAUGGACAUGGAGGUCCUCCGCUGCACUCCCUGAUGCAUCAAGCGCGCAGGCAUACAAGGAGGCUCUGCUUCUUCCCAGGUCGCCAUGGAAGGUAUGCUCUGCUCUGCUUGUCAACGCCCAUCUAUCCGUGUUUGCUUGCUGCUGCAACUUGUAUUCGGACGGAGCUAGACAAAACUGCAAAAAUCACAUACUUUUACUUCCUUUUUCAGAAAAAACUAACAAGUCUGCAGAUUAUUCUUCAGGUUGAUACUAAAUUGGCAAUGUUGCUGUUCGGACCCCGCUGCCGCUGCGGACGCCAUGGAGCCCGUCCAGGUAUCUCACUCUGCUCUCUCUCAUGUCCCGGCCAUCAAUUACCCGGAGGUGUUGCCUCUUUUCACUAGUGCAACCGUGCGUGUGCGUGUGCGCGCGUGUGUAGUACUCCCUCCGUCUCAAAAAAAGUGACUCAACUUUGUACUAAAGUUUGAACAAAGUUGAGCCACUUAUUUUGGGACGGAGGGAGUAUGAGAUUCAACAAGACACAAUGAGCUCUUGUAGCGAUGAUUCUUCUGCUGGUCACACAAGUGAGCCUAUCUAUGCUUGUUUUGUCUUGGCUCGAUUGAUUCCAACACUUAACUUUCAGUUUUGCAACUACAAAUUAAGAGAUCGAUUUGGGGGAGGUGAGGUACACGAAUGAUAGUAGGCCAGAUUCAGACUUGUAUUCGAGAGGAAAUUCAUAGUUUCAGUUUCGCAACACACGCCCACACAUAGCAACAGCCAGAUUCAGACAUGUGUUGGAGAGGAAAUUCAGAGUAAUCUGCUUGCCUAUGUGCUAGGCUUGCAUGUCAAUUGUCUCAUAACCGAGCCAUUGGUCCUGGGUUUAGUUAGGACGUGUAAUUCAGCUCCCUUGUUGCUACUGCUCCAAUCAUAUAGGCUGCCACAUAUCAUCAUGCUUUCUACUGUAGUAAUGUUCUCUUCUCAUGUUCAUCUCUACCCCAUGUGUGUGUUGUGCUCUUGACAUGUCCGCACGAAAUCACCAAUGCGUGUCUCUGUGUUGCAAAUGUGUUCUCAACAUUUGCUAUUGUUUGGGCUUAGACAGCUCGAUUGCCCGCUGUUUUCAGGAUCAUUGCCUUAUGCUAAAAUACUCCUAUUCUUUUGCCUUAUGCUAUUGUUUCAGGAUCAUUGACAUGAUUUCCUUUUUUCUCUCAUUAUAAUUGGAGCUCAAGAUUUUCCAUUUGACUCAAGAUUUGUUAUUUAUCAUGUCCUUGUGCAGCAGCAUGAUUGAUUCGGUACUGCAUCAUCCCCGGUUAAUGCAGAGGACAAGGGGCUCAUCGUGUGUGUCUCCCUUCGACCAACGAGGCACGACGUUGUUCGGCACUGGCUGCAAAAUAAUCACGGUGAGCUUGUCAACGCCCAUCUAUCCGUGUUUGCUUGCUGCUGCAACUUGUAUUCGGACGGACCUAGACAGAACUACAAAAAAUCUCAUACUUUUACUUCCUUCUUCAGAAAAACUGACAACUCUGCAGAUUAUUCUUCAGGUUGAUACUAACUUGGUAAUGUUGCUGUUCCGAGACCCCGCUGCCGCUGCGGACGCCAUGGAGACCGUCAAGGUAACUCAGUCUGCUCUCUCUCAUGUCCCGACCAUCAAUUACCAAAGUCUUCCAGUAUGAGAUACAUGCCGAUUAGAGCAACAACAAAACGACACCAAAAAUAUCACUUUUCACUAUGAAAAAAGCUCCAUUUUUCAUACCCAAGUCUUCACAUGUAUUACAGAAAGAAAAAAACAACUCUGAAAAAGCUCCAUGUAUCUCAUACCGAAAUCUUCACAUGAGCAAAUUCCUUCAAAAACUAAAAUAAAAUACUGACACGAGCAUGCAUAGCAAAUCUUACAAUUUGAGGGAGCACUAGGAAACUUGAUACUCCAUAUUUUGCCUGCUUGCUUGCUUGCUGCAACUUAUCUUCACAGACAGACAAAACUGCAGAAAUCUGAAACUUUUAGUUCCUUCCUUCUUCAGGAAACUGAAAACUCUGCAGCAGAUUUAUCUUCAGGUUGAUGAUACUAACCAAGCAUACUAACUUGAUAAUGUUGGUGUCCUCAGGCGCAGACUGUUGUGUGCCGCCUCUUCCAUGGGCGUCCACGCCAUGGAGCUCCUUAAGGUAUCUCUUAUGUCGUGUGUGUCCCGGCCAUCAAUUACGUACCCAUAGAUGCUGCUUGUUUUCACUAGUGCAACAAUUUGUGUGUGUGUGCCCAGUAUGAGAUUUGACAAGACAACAUGAGCUCUUGUAGCGAUUCCCACAUGCUAGCCUUUCUAUGGCAAUUAUGUCUAGUCUUAUUACAUCACUUUGUAUGGAGCGUACAACUUUGUUUGCUACAGAAUAUAUAGCACCAUCCUGAAAUACUACUCUACUAUUUCGUUUGUGAUCACGCCCCUGUACAACAAGCCUUCCAAUCUGCUAAGUUUUGCCUCUCUUGCUGUAUGUAUGUAUAUGUAUGGGCAAAAUGAUGACAGGUGCAAACCCGAGCUGCCUGCCAUGUCGUUUAUAAUAAACACACACUAGUAAUAGUAAGAUAACAUGAUAUUCAAACUGCGUAAGUUUGCAAUUUCUCUCUCUUGCACUGGUAACACUAUCACAUAUACUCCCUCUGUAAACAAAUAUAAGUGUGUCUAGAUCACUAAAGCGGUGAUGUAAACGCUCUUAUAUUUCUUUACAGAGGGAGUACUAGUUAUGUAUUUCCAUUUCUUAAAUGCUGCCAUGUCCAUUGGUGUGACUCCAUUUCUCUGCUUUGACGUUGAUGUUUGCCCAACAGAGACCCUCAAUGAUGACAGGUGGAGUGCAGGACAUUGAGGACAUGAUAUGAACCGCCGUUCCAGACGCCCGCCUCAGGGAAGGAGCACUCCAUCCCGCUGAUAACAAUGUUUUGAAAGAGGAGAUGACGGAUUUGGUGGAGGAGAGGAACUCCCUCAAGGACGAAAAGAGGAGCCCUGUGUACAGAAAAGUAUGUGAUGUUUUAUCGAAUCACCAUCGCAGCAACCUUACUAUGGCCUGACGUUCCCUUUUGUCGACGGUCUUGACUGUAACUCAAGUGCUUGUGAUGUUGCAUUCUGGCAGCUUGUGAUGCUGCUUUGUCAAGUGCUUGUGNNN